rnacentral:lncRNA from 1 species
UUUUCUAGUUUUAUACAGAACAUUUCUUCAAAUGUAUAAGGAUUAUAUAUAUUCCACAGUUCAUAGCACAGCAGAGGUUGCAUUUACUUUCUUGAUAGGGGAUUGCUUCAUACAAGAUAGCUACUGAAACAAGGGUCAUGACAAUAAAGUUGACGUGAUCUUUGAUUGUUUAACAGAAGCUAUCACGACUUAAUGGAUCGUUACCGAGUUUCUGUUACUGAUUACUAUGUAGUUCUUACAUUUGUCCUAGCUAAAAUGAAAGCCUGUGAUCGGUCAGUUUUUCCAGCUUUUGAUUUUCUUGAGAACCACUGAGCAUAUGAUAGCAAAGUUUCUGGUUGAGCUUAUAUUUUGCGUUUGAACAUAUUUAUUUUAGUUUACAUAUAUAAUUCGUAAAUCAAUUAACUGAUUAAAAAAUGUAGUAGUGUGCUCAUAUAAAAAAACCACAACUGUUCACAUAUAUUUAUAUCAGACCCAGUUAUACUGAAUGUACAUUGAGCAUGAAAAAAAAAUAUGGUCAAACUUAAACAAGAUUUA